AGCAGAGUGGCUCAAUGGAAAGAGCAUGGGCUUGGGAGUCAGAGGUCAUGGGUUCCAAUCCUGGCCCUGCUG
rnacentral:tRNA from 1 species